rfam:Brassica oleracea var. oleracea cultivar TO1000 chromosome C5, whole genome shotgun sequence
GUCAAUAUGUCCGAGUGGUUAAGGAGACAAACUCGAAAUCUGUUGGGAUUUGCCUGCGCAGGUUCGAAUCCUGUUGUUGACG